rnacentral:sRNA from 1 species
CCUGCGGCGAAAACUCAUGUUUUCGGAAAAGGGCUGUCUGCGCGACGUGAUCAUGUCGCGCCGGGAACGACUUUCCGUUCCCUGCUAUGAGCCUUGCGGCUCCCUGCACGCCACGUCCCCGAAAGGGACGUGGCGUGUGGGUC